rnacentral:rRNA from 1 species
GUGGGGAAUAUUGGGCAAUGGAGGCAACUCUGACCCAGCAACGCCGCGUGAGUGAUGAAGGUCUUCGGAUUGUAAAGCUCUGUGAUGGGAGACGAAGAAAGUGACGGUAUCCCAAUAGCAAGCCUCGGCUAACUACGUGCCAGCAGCCGCGGUAAUACGUAGGAGGCAAGCGUUAUCCGGAAUGACUGGGCGUAAAGGGUGCGUAGGUGGCUUGGCAAGUUGGUAGCGUAAUUCCGAGGCUCAACCUCGGCGCUACUACCAAAACUGUCAGGCUCGAGUGCAGGAGGGGUAAGUGGAAUUCCUAGUGUAGCGGUGGAAUGCGUAGAUAUUAGGAGGAACAUCGGUGGCGAAGGCGACUUACUGGACUGUAACUGACACUGAAGCACGAAAGCGUGGGGAGCAAACAGGA